rnacentral:rRNA from 1 species
UACGUAGGGCGCAAGCGUUGUCCGGAAUUAUUGGGCGUAAAGAGCUCGUAGGCGGAUUAUCACGUCGGGUGUGAAAGCCCGGGGCUUAACCCCGGGUCUGCAUUCGAUACGGGCUGGCUAGAGUGUGGUAGGGGAGAUCGGAAUUCCUGGUGUAGCGGUGAAAUGCGCAGAUAUCAGGAGGAACACCGGUGGCGAAGGCGGAUCUCUGGGCCAUUACUGACGCUGAGGAGCGAAAGCGUGGGGAGCGAACAGG